rnacentral:rRNA from 1 species
CCCAAACCAAUAAAGUUUUCUUUAUUGGGGUUGCGGACAUAUCAUAACGAAGAGGUAUCGUAAUUGAAGAGGUUUGGAAAGACCCACCACAGAAGGUAAUAGUCCUGUAUGUUAAACGAGAAGACUUUAGAUAUGAUCCAGAGUACCACGGGACACGUGAAACCCUGUGGGAAGCAGGAGGGACCACCCUCCAAGGCUAAAUACUACCUAGUGACCGAUAGCGUAUAGUACCGUGAGGGAAAGGUGAAAAGAACCCCGGGAGGGGAGUGAAAUAGAACCUGAAACCCUGCACUUACAAGCUGUGGAAGCACAUUUCUUGUGUGACCGCGUACUUUUUGUAGAACGGGCCAACGAGUUACGUUAAGUAGCAAGGUUAAGCACUUAAGGUGUGGAGCCGUAGCGAAAGCGAGUUUUAACUGAGCGUUCAGUUACUUGACGUAGACCCGAAACCGGGCGACCUACCCAUGAGCAGGAUGAAGCGAAAGUAAAAUUUCGUGGAGGUCCGAACCCACGAGCGUUGAAAAGCUCGGGGAUGACUUGUGGGUAGCGGUGAAAUUCCAAUCGAGCCCGGAGAUAGCUGGUUCUCCCCGAAAUAGCUUUAGGGCUAGCCUCAAGGUGAGAGAUACGGAGGUAGAGCACUGAAUGUCCUAGGGGGUAUUGCACCUACCGAAGACUAUCAAACUCCGAAUGCCGUCAUCUUAUACUUGGGAGUCAGACUGUGGGUGAUAAGAUUCAUAGUCGAAAGGGCAACAGCCCAGAUCGUCAGCUAAGGUCCCUAAAUGUAAGUUAAGUGGUAAAGGAUGUGGGAUUGCACAGACAACCAGGAUGUUGGCUUAGAAGCAGCCACUCAUUCAAAGAGUGCGUAAUAGCUCACUGGUCGAGUGAUCCUGCGCCGAAGAUUUCCGGGGCUAAA